rnacentral:rRNA from 1 species
UAGUCAUAUGCUUGUCUCAAAAAUUAACCCAUGCAUGUCUAAGUAUAAGCAAUCUAUACGGUGAAACUGCGAAGGGCUCAUUAAAUCAGUUAUCGUUUAUUUGAUAGUACCUUACUACUUGGAUAACCGUGGUAAUUCUAGAGCUAAUACAUGCUAAAAACCCCGACUUCGGAAGGGGUGUAUUUAUUAAAUAAAAAACCAAUGCCCUUCGGGGCUCCUUGGUGAUUCAUAAUAACUUAACAAAUCGCAGGGCCUUGUGCCGGCAAUGGUUCAUUCAAAUUUCUGCCCUAUCAACUUUCGAUUGUAAGGUAGUGGCUUACAAUGGUUUCAACGGGUAACGGGGAAUUAGGGUUCUAUUCCGGAAAGGGAGCCUGAAAAACGGCUACCACAUCCAAGGAAGGCAGCAGGCGCGCAAAUUACCCAAUCCCGACACAGGGAGGUAGUGACAAUAAAUAACAAUACUGGGCCUUCUCAGGUCUGGUAAUUGGAAUGAGUACAAUUUAAAUCCCUUAACGAGGAUCCAUU